rnacentral:tRNA from 1 species
AAGGGAGACCUAAUUCCGGUAGGAGACAAAAAAAAGUAGUCCCUACCAAGAAUCAAUCCCAAAAGGUCGGAGCGAGGCAAAAUUGGCUUUCAAACUGGGUUCUGGGUUCAAACAAGACCUGAAUCAGGAACAAGGGCUAUUAGCUCAGGUGGUUAGAGCGCACCCCUGAUAAGGGUGAGGUCCCUGGUUCGAGUCCAGGAUGGCCCACCUGCACAGGUGGCAAAAACAAAGAAGCGAGGAAUCAGCACCUUAUCUUACUGACAUAGUAAGAGAGAAUGCUGGCUCUGAGUAAAGAGUCCUGAGGAACCUUGAAAACUGCAUAGAGCUAGGUGAAAAAGCCAAAAAAGAAGACCGCAAGGUCAAGCUAAUAAGGGCUAACGGUGGAUACCUAGGCAC